UGGCCACAGGAUUUCCCUACCUUGCCAGCCUCCAUGCGUCCCCCUGAAGCUGUGGGUUCGGUGGGAAGGCCUCCGAUAAUCAUCUGGCAUCCCUUACAACGCUCACAACGAGAGCUGGCAGCUGAUUAACUGAAGUACCUGCCCUGCAUAUCCCCUCUGCUGUUACAGCUUGAGGCAGAAAUCUAACAGAAAUUUUCAGCUUGAAUGAUGAAAGUUUUGUGAAGCUGUACAGAAUGGGAAAUAGCUUCUUCUUCUGGGAAGUGCUGAGCGACCCUGAUGUGGGCUGGGACUCUCAGGCAGUGCAGGGUGGUCUGGCAAAGCCUUCAGCAGGGCACUGCACUGGUUGGGCAGGACACCAGGACACAUGGGUGCUACUGAGCAGCGACUGAAACCCAAGACCUGCCGCAGCAUGACACCAGUCCCGGCCGUAGACCGUGAAAUGGGAUGGGCGAGUAUUUGCACGAGGAAGCACUGCCCGGAGCCCAAGACACAAAUCUGCUCAGACGGUUAGGGCACCGGGCAGUUCUUCCCCUAGUCACGGCAGUAAGGUAUUAAACAGCCUCAGCCCUGCUCAGAGAUGGCAGACACACAGCCAUGUGCUCGGUCCUGAGCUCACAGCAGGACCGAUAGCCUCUGGCAGCAGGGCAGCUUCUGGCAGUGGCCUGGUUCAGCCAGGUUUACCUGGAGGCCGGCAGGACGCAGCGAGCAGCUUGCCCCGGCCUGCCACCCCUGAGUGUAACCAGGCACCUGCAGACACUUAAUGAAGGGCGAGUGAAGCACAAAGCCUCACAGGGACCCUCGUCUCAAAUGUUGUGAUUAUCCCUGAAGCAUGCAUUAACUGUUUUGCUGCUGAGCCCUUCCACAAAGUCAAAACUGCUUUCUAAUGCAGUUUGUUGAGGCCUAUACGUCAGCCAGAGGCCGAUUUGGACUAAUCCAGGAAGGGAGCCAAGUAUUAAAAAAAAAACAACCUCUGAGGUUGUGGAACAUCUAAAACAUAUUGAUCAUGGUGUAAUUACACUUGAAAUGUAUUAGGGGAAGUAGCUAAAACAGUCUCCACUCUGAGAAAGAUGAUGUGGGAGCAUGCAAGAGGGCCUCGGGGAGACUGACUGGAAUUCUUAUGAGGGAUGGUGAACCUGUUUCAGAAAAUGUAAAGAAAAGUUACCCAAGUGAGCAUUAAAUGACAGAUGUGGUAAUGACUAUCUCAAACUUCCAUUUUCUAAAGAUUUAGCUACUAUUUACAUGAAUAUCAGAAGUCAGUGAAGCAGACGCAGCAAGAAGCAGCAUACAUGUGACAAAUCUCACUUGCAUCUUUGAAUUAAAAAGCAGUUCCUCAACUUAAGAUGUAAUGACAGGCUGGAAAUAAAGGAAGUCUUCAGUUUGCCUU